UCGAUUAGUUUGAUCCUGGCUCAGAACGAACGCUGGCGGCGCGCCUAAUACAUGCAAGUCGAGCGAGAAGACGUAGCAAUACGUUUGUAAAGCGGCGAACGGGUGAGGAAUACAUGGGUAACCUACCCUAGAGUGGGGAAUAACUAGCCGAAAGGUUAGCUAAUACCGCGUACGCUCCUUGGACUUCGGUACAGGGAGGAAAGCGAUACCGUGGGUAUCGCGCUCUUGGAUGGGCUCAUGUCCUAUCAGCUUGUUGGUGAGGUAACGGCUCACCAAGGCUUCGACGGGUAGCUGGUCUGAGAGGACGAUCAGCCACACUGGCACUGCGACACGGGCCAGACUCCUACGGGAGGCAGCAGUAAGGAAUAUUGCGCAACGGGCGAAAGCCUGACGCAGCGACGCCGCGUGGGGGAUGAAGGUUUUCGGAUUGUAAACCCCUUUCGGGAGGGAAGAUGGAACGAGCAAUCGUUCGGACGGUACCUCCAGAAGCAGCCACGGCUAACUUCGUGCCAGCAGCCGCGGUAAUACGAAGGUGGCAAGCGUUGUUCGGAUUUACUGGGCGUACAGGGAGCGUAGGCGGUUCGGUAAGCCCUCUGUGAAAUCUCCAGGCUUAACCUGGAACAGUCGGAGGGGACUGCUGGGCUAGAGGACGGGAGAGGAGCGCGGAAUUCCCGGUGUAGCGGUGAAAUGCGUAGAGAUCGGGAGGAAGGCCGGUAGCGAAGGCGGCGCUCUGGAACGUUUCUGACGCUGAGGCUCGAAAGCGUGGGGAGCAAACAGGAUUAGAUACCC
rnacentral:rRNA from 1 species